rnacentral:rRNA from 1 species
UACGUAGGGUGCAAGCGUUGUCCGGAAUUAUUGGGCGUAAAGAGCUCGUAGGCGGUCUGUCGCGUCUGCUGUGAAAACUCGGGGCUUAACCUCGGGCCUGCAGUGGGUACGGGCAGACUAGAGUGCGGUAGGGGAGAUUGGAAUUCCUGGUGUAGCGGUGGAAUGCGCAGAUAUCAGGAGGAACACCAAUGGCGAAGGCAGAUCUCUGGGCCGUAACUGACGCUGAGGAGCGAAAGCAUGGGGAGCGAACAGG